UUGCAUGUGGGAACGGUACGUUCAUUACUGAUUUUUGAUUCUGUCCCAAAAGAUGUGCCUGAUUUGGAUGGUACCCACGAGGGGCUGGACAAGCAAGCAUCCUUGGAGGCAGGAUUAGGAAGGACACGACAGGGAGGGACUACAGUGAUAGACCCCUGGGACAACCCAGAGGCACCGAAUAACUCUGCAGAUGUCUUCCGUCUCUCAAUGCCUGCCAGCCAUCCCACCCCAACCCCAGAUCCUGGCAACCAGUCAUGUCCAUUGAGUUUGGCAGUCCAAGGACGCGCAAGGGGGAUUGUUUCUACACAUAGAGACCCCAGAGGUAAUUCCGCCGGCACGACGUUCUCCGUGCGGGAGGCGAGCUCGCCGCACGCGUCACAUCUGAAUCAAAAAGAGAAAGAAAAAAAAAAAAAAAAAAAAA